rnacentral:misc_RNA from 1 species
GGUAGAACUGGCGGAGGGAGUGGGCAUAGAGGGUGUCUUGGAAGGCAUCGAAGGAGCAUCGGUAGAAGAUGGAUCGGUCGGAGCCAGAUCGGAGGGCGACGGCUUGGUGCUUUUCCGGUCCGGCAGAGUUUUUGAACCCCAUGUCCCUUGCCAUGAACCUCCUCCCAACAACAGCGAAGGUUGCCGUCGAGAAUGUCGGAGUUCCAUCAAUGAAGUUCAAGCUCCCACUGACAAUAGUCUUGUACAUCCCAUCCCCAUACAUCUGCACAUUCCACUUGUUCUUAUCUAUCACCACAUUCUCCACAUACUCCCCUCCCUUCACAUAUAUCACAAAAGGAUACAUGUUCUUCUUGGGCACCAUCUCCACCGCCUCCUUAAUCGUCUUCACAUCCCCUGUCCCGUCCGCCGCCACUGUCACAUUUGCCGUCAUCCCAUCCCCCAAUAGCCACCUUCUCUGAAACCCCGAUGCCCACUUUGGAAUCGGAAUUUGAUCAGUAGCCAAAAGUUUCCGAUGUAUCGGCACAUUGAGCUUAGCCAUGAUUCCGAGUACCCCCUUCACAAUCGCCAGCCCGUUACUGGUGAACUGCGUCGAGUUUGUCAUUGUCGCCUCCAUCUUCUCCCUCAAUCCAUCCUCAGUCCCUUCGAAUCCAUCCAAGCAGGUUUCCUGGUUGGUCACCGCCGCGCUCAGCCACGACAUCAAGUCAUCCACCUUCGCCGCUGUCAACAUCUUCUUUUCACCAUCCGCCGGCUGCAUAGCAUCCAGAGCAUCAGUCAAUUGGCUGACCGACUCAUCCAGUAGCUCCUUGCAGUCCUGGAUCGCCUUGGUCAACCUCGUAUUGUUCGUCGGGGACUGCGAAGACAAGAGACUGUCUGUUGCAACCGAAACCUUGGAGAUGGCGGCGAUGGCGACAUUGAGAGCGAGCUUGAAUAGCUCUUCCGGGUCGGUUGUCGCAUUGGCUCCCUUCAUGGAGGAGAUGCUGGAGAAGCAGGAGUCGGGGUAGCGCGUGACGCUGCACAUGGUUUUGAGUGAGCUUGAGGCGGAGACAGCGGGAGAGGACGGGGAGCUGUCAGAGUUGCUUCCAUGCUUGUUUUUUACAACAGCGACAGCGACACCGGCGACGAUGGCGAGAAGGAGGAUGACUGAGACGGAGAUGAGGAUGAUGCGGUUGCGGGCCUUGCGGCGAAACUCGCGGUCCUCGGCGGCGUCGACUUUGCCGUAGCCUUUGAAGGACUUGAUGGAAUCCAUGG